rnacentral:lncRNA from 1 species
AUUACAAACUGAAAUAAAGGCAUCUGUCUGAUAUAUAGUUGUCUGUAUACAUAUGAAACAUAUACAUAUGCAUACAUUGGUUAAUGUAGGUGUUCAUCCAAGAGUCUGACUGAUAUCUUCAGUCUUUAAUUUCUGGUCUGACUGAUGUUAAAAAGUGUUUAUUAGCUUGAAUUAUCAUCAUUUUGAAACCUCUAACAAUGGAUCUCUAACCCUAAAAGUUGGUCUUGUUGUUGCCAUCAGUGUUUGUUUGAAAUCACCUAUGCAUAUUAAAAUCUUAACAAUGUACAUCACUGUUUCCUGUUGUUAUUUGUCUAUGUAGGUUGAGAACCAGGAGGGUGUCAUAAAUUUUGAUGAAAUCUUGAGGGAGACAGACUCUUUCAUGGUUGCUCGAGGUGAUCUCGGAAUGGAGAUACCCGUUGAGAAAAUUUUCCUUGCUCAAAAGAUGAUGAUUUACAAAUGCAACCUUGUUGGGAAGCCUGUCGUCACUGCCACCCAAAUGCUUGAAUCCAUGAUCAAAUCCCCCCGCCCAACACGUGCUGAGGCUACAGAUGUUGCAAAUGCUGUUCUUGAUGGCACAGACUGUGUCAUGCUCAGUGGUGAAAGUGCAGCAGGUGCCUAUCCUGAGUUGGCAGUGAAGAUUAUGGCUCGUAUUUGUAUUCAGGCUGAGUCCUCUCUAGACUACGAAGCAAUUUUCAAGGAGAUGAUAAGAUCUGCACCUCUUCCCAUGAGCCCACUGGAAAGUCUUGCGUCAUCAGCUGUCAGGACAGCCAACAAGGCUAAGGCCAAGUUAAUCGUUGUCCUGACUCGUGGUGGCACUACAGCCAAAUUGGUGGCCAAAUAUCGACCUAGUGUUCCAAUUCUUUCAGUUGUUGUCCCUGUGCUGCUGACCACAGACUCAUUCGAUUGGUCUGUCAGUGAUGAAUCACCUGCAAGGCAAAGCCUCAUUUAUAGAGGACUGAUACCGUUACUGGCUGAGGGUUCUGUCAAGGCUACAGAUUCUGAGUCGACAGAGGUGAUCCUUCAGGCUGCACUCAAGUCAGCAGUGGAGCAGAACCUAUGUGAGCCAGGUGAUGCUGUUGUUGCACUCCACCGCAUUGGCGUUGCCUCUGUUAUAAAGAUCUGCAUUGUGAAAUGAUUAGUAAAUCAACCAGGCAUGCAGCAAUUCAAAUUGCUGUUAAUGGCUUCCUUUUCUGGUUUAAAAUAACAGUAUAUUCCAAGCUCAGCCUUCUUUUUUGCAAGUUCUUAGUAUAAUGAGCUGGUCAUUGGAGGGACUCCAAUUUUAAGCCAAUUGUUCCAUGGUUUAUGAUUUCCAAAAACAUUGCAUUCCUCUGGCCUCAUGCUGGCCAAUGCAGACAAACUUAUACUCGUCUGUUUCUUGACAUUGGUUUUGGUAAACGUGAUUGAGCUAUGUUUGCAUACUUGUUUCUGAUCAUUGUGGAGAGUAGGUUAAGCAUGUAUAAGAGUUAUUCCUCGGUUAUUUUAUGACAUGUAAAUUAUCAUGGAAUUCUUGGCUUGUUUUGCAGAGGAUGUUAACAUUCAGUUCGGUGCAGAUGCAGUCACAAGCGGUAUUUCAAGCUGAUUAAGGGUGGGAUUCAUGUGGCUGUGAUAUCUAAAUUGGAGGUGAAUAAUGAUGAAAGCUUAAGAGUGAUGAGGUAGUCGAAAUAUAUAUAUAUAUAUAUAUAUAUAUUUACUUAUGUUGGAAAUUCUCUUUCAUUUUCAGGCUCUUGGAAUUACUGAAUCAUUAGGCAGUAGUUUGACUACAAUUAUGAAUGGGGAUAUGCUUACAGACAACAUAUCAGGUGAAUAGAACAAUCUGUCACAAAGCAAGAAAUUAGCAUGAUUUCCAGUCAUCUUGCUUAAUGCGGUGGACGUCUCUUUGACGGCGAGGAUGAUUCAACGAAGAGAAUCCGAGCCACUCUGGGCCGCUGGAUACCUCCGUCGAUAGGUAGAAGGGGACUGGCGGGAGAGUAGUUGAAGCCAAAUCCAAUUAAUGGGUAUUCCUUAUAUUUCACUUAAGCGGGUCGGCUGAUCCAAUCCGCUGCGUCCCCACGACCUUAACGGGUGGACGGAGAUCUUGACCCGAACUUGUUGCAGCGAGCCAUACCGGGUCUGAGAUGGUUUAACCCGGUCCGUUUUGGAGUCGAAGGUCGUUGUGGGAGCCUAAGAGUUCGAGGGGGAGUCGGUUCGUUCCCUUAAAGAAAGCUCCGUCGUUGUGGGAGCUUAAGAGUUCGAGGGGGAGUCGGUUCGUUACCUUAAAGAAAGCUCGCCCUGAACCCGCUGCCGGUCGAAUUCGCUGGCGAUCUCAAGCGAUAUCUUCGGUCGUCGCCUGGGGUUUGGAUCUUUUCUACCUUUCUUGAACGAUUCUUCUCCUUUUUCUUUUGAUGAACAAGAUCUUGGUGCUAAUUUUGGCAGAGAUUGGGCGUUCUUGGAGAGGAUAUUGGGUUUUCGAGAAUUCGGAUCCGGAGUCGCGGUUUGGAUCUUGUUCGCCAUCGAAGCAGCGAUCUCUCUCUGGGGAUGAACUCGUCUUCUUGUUGCGUCUCCGGGAAUGUCCCGUUCCUCUAUGAGGGUGAGCUCCUCGUCGAUCGAUCCUCCUGUGCUUUUCUUAUACCUCGUUUGUUCGUUAUUGUCGGUCGCUUUUUCGUUUCGAUUCAUUAGUUCGUAAUAAAGUCCCCUGUCGGUCAUCGGCCAUCCCGAUCCCGAUGACGAAAGGAUGUGAGCCCUAGUUUAUCUUAGGUGUAAGCCCAGUUCUUGAUUACAUUAUUAGUUCUUGAGACUUGUAGGUUUUAGGUAGUAUGUUCAUUUGGAUUUAAGCCAAAUAAUAAGCCAGUCGUAUAGAUGCUGAAAGUGUAGAGCGCACGUCCAUCUCAACAUUUGGCAUAAAUUUUUUAUAUAUAUUAUUUUUUUAAGUAUUCAAUAUUCAGAUCCAUAAAGCAUUGUUGAUGUAUUAUAAUUUUUUUUAAAUCUUAAAGAUAUCCGAUGAUCGUAUAAGACUCCCGAUGUCGUUCAUCAUUUUAAUCAUUCUAUUUUUAUUUUAUGAAUAAUAAUUUUAUUGAUUUUUUUAUCUUAUUGAAUAAUUAAUCUAAGAGACCGAUUUCUUAUCUAUUUAAUUUAUUGAUCUUUUCAGCUUCUCUAGAAUCACUAAGAUUAUAUUUUAUAUAUUUAGUUUUAAUCUUACAUAAUCUUACAUGUCCUUAAUAUAAUCUCAUGUUAAUAGGAAAGGAAACUUCCUAUAAUUUUUAUUCUUAAUAUAAUCUCAUGUUAAUAGGAAACCAUAUUAUAUAGGACCCCAAUAUCCAAACCUUGUAUUCAUACUCAAAUUUUGUUUGGAUCUACUUGUAUACGUAGCUUUCAAAAUUUUAGUAAUGCAUCAGUUGCUUGACCUGCCAAUAACCAUAUCAAUAUUGUUUUAGUGCAAUACAUGUAGGGGGCUACCAAUGGAAAAAAGCUCAAAGCACCAGAAGUUUCAAGAAGAUUCCCAAAGGAAUGUGUCGCUCUAUCCUCCUCAAACUAUGAAAAUUUCGGUUUUUGGUUUAUAUAGGCCUACAAAUGCAUGAUUAUUGAUCAUUUCCUCUUCAUGUGAGUCGCUGAGCAUUGUUUAUAACCAUUUGGAUACAUGAAUACUUGUUUUCCUAAUUGAGUUGUCAGAUACGCUGUGCGUGUGUGUGAAUGGAUGCAUGCCGCACAUGCGUGUGCUCGUUCUUUGUGAUUAUGAUUGGCUGAGUUGACCAUUUCUGUUCGUCAGAUGCCAUUCACCUUGCAGGAGAGAGAGAGAGAGAGAGAGGUCGCACUUUGUUAGUGGAAUUGAGAAAGGUAACACGGCGGCAGGAGAUUCCCUGCUUUGAUGUUCUAAAUUUUGUUGGAGCUUUAUGAUACGUGCGUGCUUUAGCCGCCGAGGAAGCUUGCAGGAGCUGUGACUUAUAUAUAAUCUGCAGAAUUUUGUGCGUUCUUUUUCUGUUUGCGCGACUUAGUUCUCGCUAGCGGCGCAGACCCCUGGAGGGCGGGCGGCUGGCAUGACACCAUAACUCAUCUGAUUAGGACACCCACCCCGUCGAUACAACUUAUUGGUACCACCAUAAGCCAGCCCCACAACAUCCAAAAGAAUUAAAUACUGUAAGCAGUAAAUACAUAUUAUGAUUCGUGAAAAUAACAACAGCGCCCAUCACCUAGAAGAACUUGUCGAGAAAAAAGAGUAUUAGCCCUUCACCAAAAUUUGUCCAUCAAAACGGUACAAGAUACAUACCAACUUUGUUCCUGGCCCCCUCCAUAUGCCCCUGUGAGUUCCACCACUUGACACGUUUCGGCAUAUAUAUAUCAUAUAUGGAGCCACAGUUGGUGUCGAACUAGAAUUUAAAAUCUUUCUUCUUUGAUUUCCCUUCUUUCUCCUUGCGCUUCCUCUUGUUUGCAGCCUGCUGUAGUAGUUAAAAGGAACCCAAAAGAUAGACAAAACCCCUCUGAAUAUCACUAACUCAAAAACUUAUCAUGCACAAGAACCAGACGAUGAAAAAUAGUACGAUACAAACCUCUGCAACCAUGUCACUGAAGUCCUCCUUCUGGUUCCGCAACUUCUCUUCUUCCCGGGCUUCUUCAUACCUGUGAUGAUACCACCAAUUAUAAUUUAAUUUCCAACCAGGUGAAGAACACCCACUUUAUGAACCAACGUGUAAGCUUUCUCUUACUUGGCCGCCAAAACGUCAUCCAUAACUUCCAGUUCCUCAGGCUGUAUUGUGACAUCCACUUUGUCCGACUUUUGACCUCGUAGAAGAUCAACCUAUGGAAGGUGGUGAUAAACAAAACAACAAUGCUAAGGCAAAACAGACCAGAAGCAUCCCAAAGCCAAAUGAUACAAUCUUAAUUAAAAUUCAAUUAGCAUAACCACUGCCAAUUAAUGCGUAUUCACAUAAAAAGCUUCUCACCCUCUUAGCACCCAUCUUCUCCUGUGCCCCAAGCACAUAUCUGUUCAAGGAACAAAAAAAAGCAAGACCAACACCAAAGUCAUGCUGCUCUUGUAUUAUAAUAUAUUUAUUACCAAGCUGAAAAGAUGACAAGAAUAAAACUACUUAC